rnacentral:rRNA from 1 species
GCGCGAAAACUUUGCAAUGCGGGAAACCGUGACAAGGGAACUCCGAGUGCCCGUAAAUUCGGGCUGUCCGCCAGUUUAAAUAACUGGUGAAGAAAGGGCCGGGCAAGACCGGUGCCAGCCGCCGCGGUAAUACCGGCGGCUCGAGUGGUGGCCACUAUUACUGGGCUUAAAGCGUUCGUAGCUGGCCUGUUAAGUCUCUGGGGAAAUCUUCCGGCUUAACCGGAAGGCGUCGCAGGGAUACUGGCAGGCUAGGGACCGGUAGAGGUGAGGGGUACUCCAGGGGUAGGGGUGAAAUCCUGUAAUCCUUGGGGGACCACCUGUGGCGAAGGCGUCUCACCAGAACGGCUCCGACAGUGAGGAACGAAAGCUGGGGGAGCAAACC